GUUCAGCUAAUGAGUCCCAAAUGGGACGAAAUACUCAUCCUGGAU
rnacentral:hammerhead_ribozyme from 1 species